CCUACGGGUGGCAGCAGUGAGGAAUAUUGGUCAAUGGACGAGAGUCUGAACCAGCCAAGUAGCGUGAAGGAUGACUGCCCUAUGGGUUUUAAACUUCUUUUAUAUGGGAAUAAAAUGUUCCACGUGUGGGGUUUUGUAUGUACCAUAUGAAUAAGGAUCGGCUAACUCCGUGCCAGCAGCCGCGGUAAUACGGAGGAUCCGAGCGUUAUCCGGAUUUAUUGGGUUUAAAGGGUGCGCAGGCGGAAGAUAAAGUCAGCGGUAAAAUUGAGGGGCUAAACCUAAUCGUGCCGUUGAAACUGGUUGUCUUGAGUGAGCGAGAGGUAGGCGGAAUGCGUGGUGUAGCGGUGAAAUGCAUAGAUAUCACGCAGAACUCCGAUUGCGAAGGCAGCAUACCGG
rnacentral:rRNA from 1 species